UACGAAGGGGGCUAGCGUUGCUCGGAAUCACUGGGCGUAAAGGGCGCGUAGGCGGCCAUUCAAGUCGGAGGUGAAAAGCCCAGGGCUCAACCCUGGAAUUGCCUUCGAUACUGUCUGGCUAGAGACCGGAAGAGGUAAGUGGAACUGCGAGUGUAGAGGUGAAAUUCGUAGAUAUUCGCAAGAACACCAGUGGCGAAGGCGGCUUACUGGUCCGGUUCUGACGCUGAGGCGCGAAAGCGUGGGGAGCAAACAGG
rnacentral:rRNA from 1 species